rnacentral:rRNA from 1 species
AUGGUGCCUCGAGCCGCUUCAAGCAGGCCAAGCCAGCUGCAGCCCCUCUUCCUCCUCUCACUUGGCUUUUCUCUUCUCCUUCUUCUCUCUCAUUCUCUGUUUUCGCCAUGGACAACUGCAGCACCCUGCCCACCGUCUCAGUCGGCCUCAUGCUCCUCCGCCUCGAUCUGUCAGCCUCGUCGCCGGAGCAGCCGGAUCCGCCGUCUCCUGCCUGCCUGCCGUCGGGAGAGGAGGACAACUGAGAGGAACACCCUUUUUCUCCACUCCAACAACCGGCCUCCCCGCGCUGCCUCCUCCAACCGCGUCAUGAGAGCCGCCUCAAGCAGGCUAGGGAGUCACCAUGGAACAUUACCUGCAGCACCCCCGCUCGCCUUGGAGCUCGCCGCCUCCGGCCACCACUUCGUCGGCCUUGUGCUCCUCCGCCUCGAUCCGUCCGACCAGCUGCUGCCUCAUGCCUCGCGUGCUGUCGGGAGGAGCGCCCGUUCGGACUGCGUGGAUGGACGACGGCGCGUAGGCAGUGUAGAGCGCGGCGUCGCCCCUCACCUUCUCAUCCUCAGUCGCGCUGGAAAGGGAGCAGAUAAGAGAUAA